AGCUUCCCUGAAUCAUUGUGAUUUUUUCCCCUCAGAAAGUAUCUUCUGCUUGCUAAUGGGGAAAAAAGUGAUAAUUUUGCUUCUGCAGAGUGGCAUUCUGCUUGCAACUGCCCUCAGCAGCAGGGAUUUCAACUUGCUGGAAAUUGACUUUGAGCAUCACAUCUGACAUGAACAGAUGCAGAAGAUUCCUAAAACACCUGGAUGACAACUUCAUGGUACAGGUACUCAGAGACCUGCCUAGAAAAGAUAUACUGCUUGAUUUGCUGCUUGUCAGCAGGGGAGGUCUUGUGAGUGAAAUGGAGAUUGUUGGCCAUCUUGGCCACAGCAACCACAAAGUGACUGAGUUUAAAAUUUCUGUUGACACGAGGAAAAGUGCCAGGAAAAUUUCAACUCUGGGCAUAAGGAAAGCAGACUCCAAGCUGCUCAAUGAAGCAGUGAGCAAGGUUCCUUGGAAUAAUGUUUUUGAAGGUGAUGAAAUCCAUCAGUGCUGGUCACUUUUUAAGCACCACCCCCUACAGGCAAUCCCAGAAUGUCAGAAGUGAAGCAGACAAGGAGAAGGCUGGCUUGGCUGAACAGAGAUCUUCUCUUGGAAAUAAAGCAAAAAAAGAAGGUAUAUGCCCAGUAGAAUUAAGGACAGGUGAUGUGGGAGGAAUACAGAGAUGCUGCUUGCCACAGGGAGAAAAUUCACAUGGCCAAAGCUCCACUGGAGUUGAAGCUGGCCAGAAAUGUGGGAUGGAACAAAAAGAGGGGGUUUUAAAUACAUUAAUGGCAAAAGGCAGUACAGAAAUUGCAUCUCCCAGGAUGAGGAUGGUCAUCCCAAAAACAGGGACGUAGAGAAGACAGAGAUGUUAAAUUCUUUCUUUGCCUGUGUCUCCAGCACUAAGGGGUUGUCAGUGGCCUGAGUUAGAGGACUGUGGCUGUGAGAGUGAGAGAAUACCAGUUGAUCCUGAAGUUGUGAGAGAUCUGCUACUCCACCUGGAUCACUAUAAUUCUAUCGGUCCUGAUAUGAUUCAUCCAAGAAUACUUGAAAACCUGGCUGGCACCACUGAAAGGCCUCUCUUACCAAUUUUUGAGUAGUCUGGGACUUCUGAGAAGGUCCCAGUUACUGGGAACUGGCUAACAGUGUCCCAGUUUUCAAAAGCAAUGAGAAGGAUGACCUCGUAAACUACAGGCCUGUAAGUCUCACUUCCUUCGUCGGUAAGGUUAUUUACAAGAUCGUUCUAGAGGGUAUUGAAAAACACCUGAAAGGCAACACAGUCAUUGUUCACAGGCAGCAUGAUUUCAUGAAAGUCCUGCUUAUUAAACCAAAUUUCCUUUUACAAAUUUCCUUUUUGGAAUGCCAGUUGAUAUAAUUUUUUUGGAUUUUAAUAAAGUUUUCAAUAAUGUAUCUCACAGGAUCCUUCUGGACAGAACGCCCGGCACACAGCUGGAUAAACAUAUUGAUAGGGGAUGGGUCAGACAUAAAGGGUUAUAGUUUAAGUAUACACAAAGUAUAGUGGGGUGACAUCAGACUGGCAACUUGUCACUAGUGGGGCUUCCAUACGACUCCAUCCUCUGCCCUGUGCUCCUCAAAACCUUCAUAAAUUACUUGGAUGCAGGACAGGAAGGGAUACUACGCAAGUUAGCAGAAGAUACUAAAAGCUUCAGUAAUAAAUGACAUUUUUGUUUGAAGUGGUGGCAUUUUAUGUAGCAUGAAGGGAUUAUAUUUAAGGUAGAAAGACAAAUUAGUCUAUCAAUAUGAAAUUGUGAACUGGAAAGUGUUGAAUGUUUUUUUAAA